rnacentral:rRNA from 1 species
UACGGAGGGGGCUAGCGUUGUUCGGAAUUACUGGGCGUAAAGUGUGCGCAGGCGGCUCCGCAAGUCGAGUGUGAAAGCCCCGAGCUUAACUUGGGAAUUGCGCUCGAAACUACGGAGCUGGAGUGUGGCAGAGGAAGGUGGAAUUCCACGUGUAGCGGUGAAAUGCGUAGAGAUGUGGAGGAACACCGAUGGCGAAGGCAGCCUUCUGGGCCAACACUGACGCUCAUGCACGAAAGCGUGGGGAGCAAACAGG